rnacentral:rRNA from 1 species
GACGAACGCUGGCGGCGUGCUUAACACAUGCAAGUCGAACGGUGAAGGGGUCUGCUUUUGUGGGCCCUGGAUGAGUGGCGAACGGGUGAGUAACACGUGAGUAACCUGCCCCCUUCUUCUGGAUAACCGCAUGAAAGUGUGGCUAAUACGGGAUAUUCUGGGUCUGUCGCAUGAUGGGUCUGGGAAAGAUUGCGCCUUUGGGUGUUUUUGGUGGGGGAUGGGCUCGCGGCCUAUCAGCUUGUUGGUGGGGUGAUGGCCUGCCAAGGCGGUGACGGGUAGCCGGCCUGAGAGGGUGGACGGUCACACUGGGACUGAGACACGGCCCAGACUCCUACGGGAGGCAGCAGUGGGGAAUAUUGCACAAUGGGCGCAAGCCUGAUGCAGCGACGCCGCGUGAGGGAUGGAGGCCUUCGGGUUGUAAACCUCUUUCGCCAGUGAAGCAGGCCUGCUCCUUGUGGGUGGGUUGACGGUAGCUGGAUAAGAAGCGCCGGCUAACUACGUG